GCCCGGAAUGGGCCCUCGGGGGCCGGCCCUUCGCGCUUUCCCUUCCUGUGGCCAAAAGGUGGGCUGCGCGCCCGACAGAGAUGAUAGUUAUUUUAAAAUUCUUUCUUUCAGUCAAGAUGAGUGAUAAGCCAGAUUUGUCUGAAGUGGAGAAGUUUGACAGGUCAAAACUGAAGAAAACUAAUACUAAAGAAAAAAAUACUCUUCCCUCAAAGGAAAAGAGCUGUAUAAAUUUUAUGGUUUGGACCUUCUCUACCUGAUGGCAAAAUGAGGUGGGAGAACCAGUUUGGCUCUUGGGUAUACUCAGGUCUCCCAGGGAUCAAGAGAUCGGUUUUGCCCUCCUGACUUACAGUCUGCUGCAGAAACUCCAAACCAAGGGGCACAUUUUUUCAUGUCACCAUUAUUUGAAAGUUCCAAAGUUAGAAUUGUCUGAAAUGUUAUAUCUUUCUAAUUGUAUAGGGAUAGAUAAAUCUGAAGAAAAAUGCUUCAGUUCCUCUUCAUUCUUAAAAUAAUAUAUGGUAAAAAAUGGCAACAGCAUAGAUCUACCUCUUAAAUGGGGGGAAAAAAACCCUGCAGUUGAUGUAGAUUCUAAUGUAGAUUCAGGUGGUUUACACACACACACACACACACACACACACACACACACACCUGUAAGCAGGCAUGGCAACUUUCAGUGAGUUAGAAAUGUGCUUUUGGGGAAGAAAUUGAACUUAAUCUUAGAAAAAUACCUUCUUAACAAUUUUUUUAUGUUUGUUUUUUUCCCCCCAGCUAUCCNNNNNNNNNNNNNNNNNNAACAAACUUCAUAAAAUGGGAAUCUUCUCCCAAGAGCAGUUUUCAACAAUGCCUGAGUGUCUCGGUUUGGGGCUUGUUUUUUUGUAAACCUAUGUGCUUGUAGAGAUUUUAGGCACUGUCUAAUGCUUCACACCCAUACUCCCUGGCUGAGGUCAGGAGUAGCCAAUGUUCCCUUAUGUUCAUUUUUAAACUUUCCAUUGGUGCAUAAACUCCAGCUGGCAAGGGUUGUCCACAGUCCCACCAUUGAUGACCUUUGUGUGUGAAGUCCUUCCACCCCCCUACAGGGUCGGCUACUUUUCACCCUCUACAAUGGAUGUCUCCAUUGCUCCAUAAUCUUCAUAAAGUGGCAUGGGUUUGCAGCUUCUCACAGUUUGUUUUCAUUUCUAAUGUAGCAAUAAAAUAAUAAGUAAAAUCA
rnacentral:lncRNA from 1 species